rnacentral:lncRNA from 1 species
UGGUAUUUUUAGUAAGAGACAGGGUUUUGCCACGUUGGCCAGGCUGGUCUCAAACUCCUGGACUCAAGUGACCUGCCCACCUCGGCCUUCCCAAAGUGUUGGGAUUACAGGCGUGAGCCAUUGCGCCUGGCCAUAUUGUUGAUCUUUCAUUGUGCCUUUAUUUAUUUAUUUACUUACUUACUCAUUGAUGGAUUGAUAGGGUCCUGCUCUGUUGCCCAGGCUGGAGUGCAGUGGCACAAUCAUACGUCACUGCAGCCUCGAUCUCCUGCUCUCAAGUGAUCCUCCCGCCUUGACAUCUGAAGUAGCUAGGUCUACAGGUGCAUGUCACUAUGCCCAGCUAAUCUUUUAAAAAAAUUUUUGUAAAGAUAGGGUCUUGCUGUGUUGCCCAGGCUGGUCUUGAACCCCUGAGAUUAAACGAUCCUCCCACCUGGGCCUCCCAAAAUGCUGGGGUUAUAGCCCCGAGCCACUGCACCUGGCCUAAUUUAUAAAUUAAACAUUAUCAUAGGUUUAUGUGUGUACAGUAUGGGGAAAAAACAGUAUAUACAGGAUUAGGUUCUAUCUGCGAUUUCAGGAAUCCACUGAGGGUCUUCAAAUGCAUCCCCCAGGAUAAGGGCGGGAAUACUGUUAUUUGUUUCUUGUUUGUCCUUAUGGAGUUUCUUUAUGCAAGCAAAUACAAAUAGACACUUAGUUUCCCUUUCAUAUAUAAGCAGAAGUGUGCAAAGUACUCUUAGCAAUGUGCUUUGGAGAUCUUCCCAUAUAGGCACACAGGCAUUAGCCUCAUUUUCUUACAGGUGCAUAGUAUUUUACUGUACGCAGGGUCUGUGAUUUACUUAGUCCUCUACGGAUGGGCCUUAAGGUUUCUAUUCUUUUGCUGUUUUCAAACAAAGCUACAUCACCUUGAAUCUAAGUGUAUCUGAAAGAACUCUGACAAAAACUGUCAAAUCGCACCAGUUUACAUUCCCAUCAGCCACGGUUCCCGUCUCCCCCCAGCCUCAGCAGAGUGCAAGAGCAGCUCUAGAGUUUUGCUGCUCUGAGGUUUCCCAGAUAUGGUACAUUUCUUUCCUCUUACUAAAAAUGAGGCUGAGCAUCUUUCCAUAUGUUUUAGACUCCUUAAAUUCCUUUUCCCUUUUUUGUGAGCUGUCUGUUCAGAUCUUUUGUCUAUUUUGAUAGUUUUAACUUUUUAAAAGGAUUUCCAGAAAUGUCUAUAUUAAUAUAUUAGCCAUUUGUUUGUGAUGUGAGUGGCAAAUAGUUUUCCUAGUUUUUUUUUUCUCUUUAGUGGGUUUUUUCCCCUUAGUGGAAAAGUGGCUUUAAAAAAUAUAUAUUCAAAUAUAUAUAUAUAUUAUUUACAUAAUAUAUAUUUUAUAUAAAUAAAUGUAUAUGUGUGUGUUUGUGUAGAGAGAGAUAGUUGAUUUUUAUCAAUCUUUUCUUUCAUGGUUUCUUAAUUUUAAAUCAGUUGGAAAGGUUUGCCAAAUCCACAGCUAUGAAGAAAUUCUCCUGUUUUCUUCUAGUACUUAUUAGUUUUUAUUUUUAUUUAUUUUGAGAUGGAGUCUUGCUCUGUCGCCCAGGCUGGAGUGCAGUAGUGCCAUCUCAGCUCACUGCAACCUCCGCCUCCUGGGUUCAAGCAGUUCUCCUGCCUCAGCCUCCCGAGUAGCUGGGAUUACAGGCAUCUGCCACCACGCGCAGUUAAUUUUUGUAUUUUUGGUAGAGAUGGGCUUCUGUCACGUUGGCCAGGCUGGUCUCAAACUCCUGAACUCAAGUGAUCCACCUGCCUUGGCCCCUAAGUGCUGGGAUUACAGGCGUGCGCCACAGCUCCCGGCCUAUUUUUAAAAAUUUCUGUAGAGAUGGAGUCUUGCUGUUUUGCCCAGGCUUGUCUUAAACUCCUGGUCUCAAGCAGUCCUCCCGCCUCAGCCUCCCAAAGUGCUGGGAUUACAGACACUGGCCACUGCAACCAGCCAAUAUUUUUGAUUUUGAAAAAAUUUAAGCCUGUACAAAGUAGAGACAAUGCUAUAAUAAACUGGCAUAUACCCCCACCUAAAUUCAACUGCUAUCAAGGUUUUGUUAUACUUCUUUCUUCUAUCUCUUCUCUCUCUCUGACUCUGUCUCUCAACAAAAUUAUUUUAAAGUACACCCAAAAUAUCAACUCAUUUUACCUCUAUAUACUUCAAUAUGCAUUUUAAAAUUAUGAAUAUUUCCUUGUAUAACUAUAAUGCUAUUAUAUGUAACAAAAUUAACAAUAUUAUUUGGUAUCAUCUAAUACUUGAUCUAUAAUUGAUUUUCUCCAGUUGCCUCAAAAAUGUAUUUUUACGGUUGGUUUUUCCAAAUAAUAAUGCAUUUGUGGUUUCAUUUUUAAAAACAUUUAACUAUUUUUUUAUUUGUUUAUUUGAGUCAGAGUCUUGUUCUGUCGCCCAGGCUGGAGUGCAGUGGCAGGAUCUCAGCUCAUGGCAACCUCUGCCUCCUGUGUUCAAGCAGUUCUCCUGCCUCAGCCUCCCAAGCAGCUGGGAUUACAGCCACGUGCCACCACACCCGGCUAAUUUUUGUAUUUUUAGUAGAGACGAGGUUUCACCACGCUGGCCAGGCUGGCCUCAAACUCCUGACCUCAGGUGAUCCAUCCACUUCGACCUCCCAAAGUGCUGAAAUUACAGGCAUGAGCCACUAUGCCUGGCCUACACAUUGAACUAUUUAAAUAUUUGAUCCAUUAGAAAUUUAUCCUGGUGUGGGGCAUGAUUUAUUCAUUCUUCCUUAUGGUUACCCAGUUGCCAUUAUGUUUAUUGGGCAAUCUAGUUUUCUUCGUUGACUUUAAAUGACACGUUUCAAAAUUUAUGUAUUCUCAUAUAUAUCUGGGACUACUUCUGGCUUUCUAAUAUGUUCUGCUGUCUUGUUUAUUCACUUGCCAGUACCACAUUAUUUUAAUUACUGAGGCUGUGUAAUGCAUUCAAUAACUGGCAGCUCUUGCUUAUUUGUCCAUGUGAACUUCGGAAUCUCCUUGCCUAGUUUAUUUUUUUUCUUAAUGGUUGGUAUUUUAUAAAUUGAGAAUGUGUAAAAUGUAAUAAAUUAACUUAGGAAGAAUUGAUAUAUUUAGAACCUCAAACUUCCCUAAUUUAGAACAUGAUUUUUUUUUUCAAAUUCUUUUUUGUAUUUUUUAGGAGUGCCUUCCAGUUGUUUACAUAGAUUUGACAUGUUUCAUGUUAAGUUAUUCCCUGGUACUGAAUUGCAUUGUUACUGUAGCAAGUGUGGUCUUUUCUUCCUCUGUAGUCUGUGAAUGGGCUGCUGUUUGGAGGUACAGCUUUCCACAAUGCCAACGUCUUGCUCUCUGCCUGAAAAGAUGCCCCAAGGCCCAGCACACCCAUGCUGUGACAAGCAGGGCACAUCCCUGAGUCAGAGAUGGAGCAGGUCAAGGCAGCUCAAGGCUUCCCAUCCUGACUCCAACCCCUUCACGGGCAAGGCUCAAGGAGCUGGGAACCUGGAGUAAGAAGAAGAUGUGAACUGAGUUGCGAAAAUCAAACUCUAAGAGCUGGGAGGCUCUUUCCCAUCAAGCUUCUAAGAAAGCUAAACUUUCUCUAAUAUGAGACGAAUAAUUUGUUAUGAGAUUAAUGUAGAUGCGCUGCAAGACAGGCAUCUAUCCGAUCAUUCUUUUGGACUCACAGCAAAGCUUAUCAAACGCUGUCAGCAGUCACUCUAUGCACAGCCCUGGAUUUGGCAGUCACUUUGAGUAUGGGACUCUCUACUGCCCCCUCCCACCUACACAACAUUACCCCCGCCUCCUCACCCCUUCAGGUGCCCUCACUCAUGGCCAGGCUGGGCAGGAUUAGCUUCUCUGCUGCAAGAGGGACGUCAAGGCAGUGGAAGUGGGGUUGGCAAUUACCUCUGCUGCAAAGUCCUCUGGUUGAGACACCAGGCUUAGCCUGCCUUCCUGCCAACUGUUGACGGCAGCAGUGGCCCAUCUGGGGUGGCUGCUGUGAGGACGCCAGCUGCAGUGGGGAAGCCAUGGCUGGGAUUGUGCACUCUGUGGAGCUGGCAGGGGCCAGGAAUAGGUGAUCCCAGCAGGAGCCCUGCACCCUACCAAGCUGGCAGGAUGGGAGCCUGUUCUCCCAGGCAGUUGCAGCUGCCCAGCCGUGGACCUGGGCAUCCCUGCACUCUCCAGGGCCUGGGAAGCCUCCUAUUCCUUCAGGCAGAGGUGCCUGUUCCCACUCUCUGGCCUCUCCUCUCUCCAAGUGCCCGCUCCAGUGCGAAGCAAAGUUGUGGCAGACCCAGCACCCUGCUGCCUCAGCCCUUUCUGGACUUCGGGCAGUGAUGAGUGUGGGAGGGAGGCUGGGGGCAUUGAGGGCAGCUGAGCGUGGGCAUGUGGGUGCCCCUCAGUGCAGAUAGCCUGCGUGCCAUGGAUGGCAUGUUGAUGGCAGUGGGAGGCAGACAGGUUCCUAGGCAGGAAGGGGUGGGUCUCUAGUGAAACCCUACCUUUAAGCCAGGGAUGGCCUGAAGCCUGGGGGCUCAGCUGUCCGUUCCAGGUGGAGUCCGCAACCUGGAGUGAGAACUUCACUGAUGCCUUUUGGCCAAUCAGACGGUGCUUUUUCCAGGCCUGCCUAUGACCACCUAUGGACCAAUCAGCAUGCACUUCCUCCCUUCUGAGCCCAUAAAAACCCCAGACUCAGCCAGCCUAAGACACUUGUCUGGACCACCUGUAGAAAGGAGCUACCCACUUUGGGUCUCCUGACAGCUGUUCUGUCACUCAAUAAAGCUCCUGCCUGCCUUGUUCACCCAGUUGUCUGCAUAACCUCAUUCUUCCUAGACACAGGACAAGAACUCAGGACCUGCUGAAUGGCGGAAGUGAAAGGAGCUGUAACAUGUUCUUGACCAGCUCGCUGAGCUGUGGGUGGUGACAUGCUCCUGGGCUAUGGGAGUAAAGGAUGGCAACCCUUCUGGGGGCCCAGACCUCAGAGCUGGAGCUGCUGUUAACACUAUAGCCCUCCCACCCUCUGCUGGUGCUGAGUGGCCACCCCACAUGAUGGGAAACAGCAGUGGGGCUGGUCCAGCCCAUGAGCCACGGGCCAGAGCAAGGUGGUGGGACUGAAAGAGCUGUAACACAAAUGGGCUGAAACAUGUCCCCCCACUCACCACACUGUAGGUAACAAGAAGUAGAGAAGAGCUGCAGCCCUUCUGGAAGCCCAGACCUUGGUGCUCCCUGAGCCAUGGCUGUGACAUGCUGUAACACCUAUUUGGGGACUCUGCAGUUCCUGGUGUCUCUGAGCUUUCGGGCACCACCACAUUCCCCUCAUCCAGACGCUGGUGCCCACAGUGGAAGCCACUUGUGGCACAUCUGGUCCAGCCACAGCCUCAAAGGGAGCUGGCAUAUGGAGCUUCCCACCCUGCCACAGCAGCCAGCGUGCCUGGCUGUGCAGUGGCCAGACCCUGUGUUCACUCACUCACAUACCCACUUGCUGCUCCAUGCCUGGCUUGCCCUUGGCAGGCAUGGGAUCCAGGCUGGUAGCACAAGCUGAGCACAUCUUACUGGGCUGAGUGGACAGAACAAGUCCAGCAGGCAUGAGCAAAACUCAGGCAGAGGUGCCACCAGCAACAGAGGUUUCCAGCUGGUAAAGCGACACCCUAAGGAUCCUGUGACACUGUGACCUCCCUCCCCCUGAGAGACUGGUAAGGACUGGACAGGCUCAUCACCGUGAAGUCAGAGCAACCCCUCACCCUUUUCUCAUUUCCACACUGUGGCGGGCUCCCUGCCAAUCUGGGUAGUUUGUCCCAAUUUUAUCUCUGAGUUCUUGCAGAUCUCUAUCUCCAAUCAGUUCCUCAACCUGGGCAAUUCUUCCCUCACGCCCCACCCUCGUCCCUUCCUUUCCCUCCUCGCUGCCAUCAUUGCAGAAUCUGAGACUUGUACAAUCACAACAGCCUCUGAAUUACCUCUGGUGGUGUCUCCUCCUCCUCUCCAUCCUCCAUAGGGCCACAGCAUCUGUUCCUUCCAGACUCCCAAGGUUUGCCAUUGUCCAUAAACACACACCACUUGUUUUGUCAAUCAAGGCUCUCCCCUGCCCAAACAAGCUCCAUUCACUCUGCAUUUUUUUUUUUUUUUUUUUGAGACAGGGUCUCGCUCUGUCACCCAGGCUGGAGUGCAGUAGCAUGGUCCUCAGCUCACUGCAACCUCCACUUCCUGGGUUUAAGCAGUUCUCCAGGCAUGCUCCACUAUGCCUGGCUAACUUUUGUAUUUUUAGUAGAGACGAGGUUUCACCAUGUUGCCCAGGCUGAUCUCAAACUCUUGGCCUCAAAUGAUCCUCCUGCCUCAACCUCCCAAAGUGUUGGGAUUACAGGCGUGAGCCACUGCACCCUGCCCAUUCUACCUUCAUGUGUCCUUUCCUCCUGCCCACCAACCUCCAUCUUUUCAUGAAUCAAAAAUCCCACCCACCCUUUGGGCCUAUGAAACCUUCCCAGACUCCCUCAGCCCCUGGCUCCUCAUUUCCUGUAAUUCCUGUGCAGUGCAUCACUUGUGAUUCUUUAGGUGCACUCUCGCUCAUGCAUUUCUGAGCUGCUGAAGGAGGCUCUUCGCUACCCAAAGCACACUGGCCCCGUAACUGUGUUCAGCUCACUUUUGUGCCCAGAGCCAUCAGCUACUUCAUAAUUACCAUGGAUACUCUUCUGCUCUUUCCACAUGAAUCACCUUGAUUUCUAGUUGCCUUUUUGGAUACCAAUAAGUAACACUUAUACCCAACUCACUAAGUGCCUGAGAGGAAUGUCGCCCCCUCCUUCCUCAGUCAAGUAUCCUCACUGGAGCAUGAUCUACAGUCCCGCCGUCUAUUCCUGCCUUGCCUAUAUCCCUGUGAAUGCAAUUCUUGGUUAACUCUUGUUUAGUGAGAAGGAAGCUUGUUCAUUAUCUUCAGUACACUGCUCCUUCACACUUUCAAAAAAAGCACUUAAAAGUCCCUCAUUUUAGAGGCUUGAUCUGUUUUAAACAUAAGGACUGGAUGCUGGUAUGGCCACAGCUCUAGCCUGUCUAGAAUAGGGACCGAGGUGGGGGGACUGCUGGAACGUGUCAAGUGGUUACUCAUCCCCAACUACUCCCAAGCAGGACGGCAUGUAAUAAGUCUCAUUUUAGCUCUGACAGGCGUGUCACUAUGACAUAUGAUGGUUCAAACACUGGCCCUUGUUUAAGAUAAAGAGCAUUUGACAUUUUUUAGCAUUCUAGAAUAUUUUGGAGAGGAAUCAGGAGCAAACCAAUGCCAAAGGUAAAGAAGUCUGAAUUUAAGGGGUAGCAAAAGGUAAGGAUAGUUAUUGUCAGAUGUGGUUAAAAGGUAGGCAGGACCCCAGCUCUGCAGAAUCGUGCAGGUGAGGCAAAGGAGCAUCUCAGAAGCGAAGCUGCUACUUACGAGAACUUCUGGUCUCAACCAGUCAGAACUCAGAGUGAAUCCUUCAAGGUGACUGGAGCCAACUGGUUCCCUGAGACCCCCUACCCUUGGGACAGCUUAAAGGCUUAAGACUGCAGAUGGGUAUUAUUAGAAAAUGGGGCCACGCCAGAACCAGGGGGAGAAUCUCUCAUUCCAUGGACUUUACGCUCCAGGAGAUACCAAAUGGCCCAGUGGGAGGGUGGGGUUUGGAAUGCCAUGGAAUCUGUUAGCAAUAUGCUGGCUCGUUUUUCUCCAGAAAUAUUCUGCCUGCCCUAGGGGGUAGCUCAGAUGUUGGCAGGACUCACCUCCUCAGCUAUCUCAGGAAAAAAAAAAUCGAUCCUCAGCCCUUUUUCCCAUUGCAAGUCAUAAGAGAAUGUGCUUCCACCCCAGGGUAGCAUGUGCCAGCCAGGUGGUGAGGUCAUUCGAGCAAGGGUCCCAGGGAAUAGGAGGAGCAUGGACAGUCGGUUGACUAUGGAUCCUCAACAGCCAACAGAGAAGUAAUCAGACCCCUUGUUCCAGUGAUUCUCAGGGAAAAUAUUUUAGAGUUCCCUGCUCUCUGUUUAUCUCCUUUCUAGCUUCUUGUGUAUUGGUAGUGACAUCAGGCAGUGAAAUGACUGACCAUUCUUUACAUCAUCCAUGGUAUCAGGGAUGGAGUUGGAAGUGAGGCUUUUUGGUGGGUUGGGUGGAAUUAUAGGGGAAUCACUUGCACGCUGAUAAAGGACCUCCCUCCUUGUGAGACUCAGAGUUUGGGGGCAGUGCUGUCCUCCCAGGGUGCUCUGCCAAAUAUGCUUAAGUUCAACAGAUAACUUGUAUUUCAAAGAAACAGCUCUGGAGCUCUGCACCCAGAAAACACAAGAAGAGGACAUCAUGAGUUCUCUUGGAUGUUAAAUGUGAUUUUCUAAGAGAUUUAUGUUAUGCAGUUAAGAAAAGAAAAAACAUAGCAAAGGAAAAAAGAUUUCAAAAAGUUUAAAAAACGUAGAUCCUUAGUAAAUGUGCUUUUCCUAGUCACAAACGUCCAAUCUGUACAGGACAAUUAGGACAAUGUUCACAAAGCCCCAUGCUGGUGGGUUCACUCAAGCUGAUGGCUGGAUGGCACUGGGCCAAGAUGCUAUAGAAGGAGGGAUGAGGCUGGGCGUGGUGGUUCACGCUUGUAAUCCCAGCGCUUUGGGAGGCUGAGGUGGGCGGAUCACAAGGUCAAGAGAUUGAGACCAUCCCGGCCAACAUGGUGAAACCUGGUCUCUACUAAAAAUACAAAAAACUAGCUGGGUGUGGUGGCACGUGCCUGUAGUACCAGCUACUCGGGAGGCUGAGAAGGGGAAUUGCUUGAACCCAGGAGGCAGAAGUUGCAGUGAGCUGAGAUUGUGCCAUUGCCCUCCAGCCUGGUGACAGAGAGACUCCAUCUCAAAAAAAAAAAAAAAAAAAGAAGAAGGAGGAGGGAUGCGGGCCGAAUGAGUGAUGCUCUGGUGCAGUGGAGAGGUUGAUAAUCCCUACCCUCUGGUUUUGAGUAAAUAGGUCUGGGUGGGGACCAGAAAGCCAUAUUUUUCAAGAUCUUUAUCAAGUAUUUUAUUUAUUUAUUUAUUUAGAGUGGGGUGUUGCUCUGUUGCUCAGGCCGGAGUGCAGUGGCGCAAUCAAGGCUCACUGCAACCUCGAACUCCUGGGCUCAAGCAAUGCUUCUGCCUCAGCCUUGCAAAGUGCUGGGAUUACAAGUGCAUAUUACCAUGCCCAGCCACUUAAAAAAAUUUUUUUUUGUAAAGAUGGAGGUCUCACUAUGUUGCCAGGGCUUGUCUUGAACUCCUGGGCUCAAGUGAUCCUCCUGCGUAGGCCUCUCAAAGUGCUGGGAUUACAGGCGUGGGGCCUGGCCAUUUAUCAAGGAGUUCUAAUGAUCAUCCAAUUUGGAAAACAAUAACCUUGAUGAAUGAUGAUCUGUUCCAAACCCAUGGUGAUAUGGUUCUAGUUGAAAUAUUUUAUUUCAGUGAAUCCAGAAUUUUCCCUGGAUGAAUAAAUAUGCAGAUACUCACCUAUAAUUUGACAUUGCAACCGGAAGAAUAUUCUCUUCUUUUACGUAUUUUUUAAAGGAUUGACCUAAGGGUACUAAAAUCCAGAUAAUCACCUUACAUAUGAAUUCCAAAAGCCCAACGAACUCAUCAGUAAGAAAGUUUUCCUUUCCCCUUAUGGAAUGUAUGAGACCACUGUGGUCAAGGUUUCCUCGGUGAAUCAGCUGCAGAAUCCUGGCUAAGUCUUAGGCACUGAGCUCAGCCUCCUCAGGAAACUGGCUCUGGAAUGGCCACUGAGGCACCAGAAAUAGGAGCUUUCUAUUAUCACUAACUAUACCACAACAGAACCUUUUAAAGCCAUUUUUUUUAAAAAAUUAAAGGAUAUUAAAUCAUUUCCCUAGAUUUUGUGGAAAUCAUAGGCUCAAAUCAUUUACUUUUAUCACUGAAGUUACAAAAAGAAUUACAAUAACAUUUUAGUUAAAAAAAAUAUAAUUGCAGCAUGAUCUAGGACCAGAAAUACCAUUUGACCCAGCAAUCCCAUUACUGGAUAUAUACACAAAGGAUUAUAAAUCAUUCUACUAUAAAGACACAUGCACACAUAUGAUUACUGCAGCACUGUUCACAAUAGCAAAGACUUGGAACCAACCCAAAUGCCCAUCAAUGAUAGACUGGAUAAAGAAAAUAUGGCACAUAUACACCAUGGAAUACUAUGCAGCCCUAAAAAAGGAUGAGUUCAUGUCCUUUGCAGGGACAUGGAUGAAGCUGGAAACCAUCAUUCUCAGCAAACUAACACAGGAACAGAAAACCAAACACCACAUGUUCUCACUCCAAAGUGGGAGCUGAACAAUGAGAACACAUGGACACAGGGAGGGAAACAUCAUACACCGGGGCCUGUCAGAGGAUGGGGGCAUAGGGGAGGGACAGCAUUAGGAGAAAUACCUAAUGUAAAUGAUGAGUUAAUGGGUUCAGCAAACCAACAUGGCACAUGUAUACCUAUGUAACAAACCUGCAUGUUCUGCACAUGUAUCCCAGAACUUAAAGUAUAAAAAAAAUCCUUGCAGCUUAUGGUUAAAAUGAAAUCCACGAAUCAUUUGGGUCCUAAUGAAGAUUAAUCAUCAUCAUUCAAUAAACAUGCCCAUGCUGCAAGUGGCGCUUUUGGUGUUCUACAGGCAUAAACCUAUCUGAUCCUCAUAACAACUCUAUGUGAUAUGUACUACUAUCAUUCCCAUUUUACAGAUGAGGAAAUUGAGGCAGAAGUUAAGUUAUCCCCCCAUGCUAAUACAAAUCAUAACAAAAAGUGUUGGAAUUUGAACCAACACUAGUAGCUUCAGCGGCCACAGAGAAGGCCCACAGUCAGACUUGAGGUUAGCAAAGCUUUUAAGGUAAAUGACAGCAUCUAUUUAAGAAACAGACCAAACAAUUGCUAUUUUUUAAAAAACUAUCAUAUCACAAUCGAAGGAUUGAUCUUAUCUCAUUUGCUUUAGCUUUAAUUAAAGAAUUUUCUAGAUGUUUGCCACCUUGUUUCUUAGCCUUUUAAAAUGAUCCUACUUCUCCCAGCUGUUUCUUAACAUACAAUGGUGUAUUAUUAUUUACCAUAUUUUCCCCACCAAUUCACAAAGCAAAUGCAACACAGCACUGGAUCAAAUGACAGAUUUGAUUUCAAUUUUGUUGGCAGUAACUUCUGUGUUUAAUUACUCAUUGUGUUAAAAGCUAAAGCUGGUUAUUCCUCGCUUGUCACCUGCAGUAUAAAAAUGGAACUAUCUAAAACAAAAACACUUAAUUACUUUCCUUCUGGAGAAGGUUUGAAUGAAUCAGAAGUGUCACAAAGCAAAUUUUCACUAGGGAGCUUGACAGAUGAAGAAAUCAAACAGGCUUUCAGCUCUGUGUACUUUCAGUCUUUCUGCUCAUUCAAGUAUGUGUGUUCCAUUCAUUAAUUUCUUCAUUUCACAAAUAUUUAUUGCUAUAUAUCAAGCAUUGGGCAGUAAUGGUUAGAAGUCCUAAAUAUCAGGCAUAAUAUCAAAUUUAAGUACAAAAAUGUUUUCCAAAUCCUGUUCAGAUUUGUUUAGAGAUAUCUGCCUCUUUGAAAUAUACUAUUUUCAGAAUAAUUCAGAGUUUGCCAUAAACUCCCACACUGACUUCCUCACAUUUAUUUCAGCCAAGCAAAUUUAAACAGAAGUUGAUGCUUUUCCUACACAAUUUGCAAUGACAUGGCAUGAUACCCCAUAUCUAAAUAAUAUGCUUAUACAGAUGACCAAAUUUAGUUUUUGUUUAAAUCUUUAUCAAUUCAAGGUUAUUUCAGCACAUAGGUGGGUGGCUUAUUAAACCUUUACUAUUUGAGAAAUUGCAUUUCCUUUUUAUUUUCCUCCUGGGUUCAAGCGAUUCUCGUGCCUCAGCAUCCCAAGUAGCUGGGACUACAGGUGUGUGCCACCUUGCCCAGCUAAUUUUUGUAUUUUAGUAGAGGCAGGGUUUCACCAUGUUGCACGGGCUGGUCUUAAACUCCUGAACUCAGGCAAUCCACCCACUUCGGCCUCCCAAAGUGUUAGGAUCACAGGCAUAAGCCAUCGCACCCAGCCUGUAUUUCCAUUUUUAAGACAAAAGCGUGUAAACUCGUUCUGAGGUUCGGGCAAUUGUGAUAUAUAAUACAUGCAAGUUAGUCCAAAAUCAAGUAAAAUAUACAAUAAACUGACAUACAAGACAGAUUCCAAUAAACAAAAUGUCACACUGAAAACACAGUAAUCUGAUAUUAGGAUUUAUUGUACUGCACUGAUAUUUUUUAUGUAAAGCAUGAAGCAGGGUCUGGAAUAUACCAUUUCAAAAUAUGCCACUCUGGCAUAAGGAUUAUUCUGAGUUGAAGGCAACGGAGGAUCUCUGCGCCCACUUUUUCUGCCUAAAAGCCAGGCAUAAACUUCCCUUUGUUCAGGUGUCUCCCACUCCUGUACCAGGAAGGGGAAGUGCAACUCUUUUUUAUUUUGUUUGAGAUGGAGUCUGGCUCUGUCACACCCAUGCUGGAGUGCAGUGGCGUGAUCUCUGCUCACUGCAACCUCUGCCUCCCAAGUUCAAGUAGUUCUCCUGCCUCAGCCUCUUGGGUAGCUGGGACUAUAGGCCCACGCCACGAAGCAUGGCUAAUUUUUAUAUUUUUAGUAGAGACAGGGUUUCGCCAUGUUGGCCAAGCUAGUCUUGAACUCCCAACCUCAGGUGAACCACCCACCUCAGCCUCCCAAAGUGCUGGGAUUACAGGCAUGAGACACCGCACCUGGCUGAAGUGCAACUCUUAACACCAGAGAUGGAGAUGAGUCUGCACAAACAAACCUCACUAAAAUAACGCUUAUCUUCCCCUAGUUUCCCCCGUGUAUUUCCCAGUUGCUUCCGCACAAUUGUUCAUCCCUUGAAGCCCAAAGCUCUUUUCCUUUAUGAAGAAAGGUAUAUAAGCUCCCAAGUCUGAUCUGUUGAGUGUUACUUCUUUUCUGUGAACUCCCAUACAUAUAAAUUAUUAAUAACAUUUGUAUUCUUUUCUGCUGUGAACCUGACUUUUGUCAGUUACAUUUGCAGGCCCCUGGUCAUUGCACAAGAGAGGAUAAAGAAAGAGUUUUUCUUCCCUGACAAGAGCAUCGUACUUGUAUUUCUAAUGUAUUUCUCUAUUUUGUAUUUUGUACUAAAAAUACAAAAAAUUAGCCAGGCGUGGUGGUGCGCACCUGUAGUCCCAGCUACUUGGGAGGCUGAGGCAGGAGAAUCGCUUGAACCCGGAAGGCAGAGGUUGCGGUGAGCCGAGAUCGUGCCACUGCACUCCAGCCUGGGCGAAAAAGGAAAACUAAUCUAAAAAAAAAAAAAGAAAGAAAGAAAAAAAAAGAGAAAUUCUGUCUACUUAAGAAAAUCUCCACCAAGGAUGCAGAUGUAAACUACUUUUUGGAGAUUCAUUGGAAGCAUCCUUACGAGGUGACAGUGACUAUGAGCUUUUGGUGGACACUCCAAAAUAUACAGUCUACUUGCUGGUGGACUCCAAGUUUUCAAUAGAGAUUACACUUUUCUCAAAUUAGUUUCAGUGUGGCUCUCUAUGGAACAAUAGAAAUAAUAAAGCCGGCCAAUGCAGGCCAAAUUUGACAGCAAAUGGAGAUAACUGAUUUAAAAGACAGAUGCCUGAAAGAACAGUCCACAGUCUGGCCAAGACGUUAAGAGGUUUUCAAGUCCUAAAGUACCAGCCAUCAUUACAUUAUCAUGGGCCAUAUGAAAACAUCCUGCAGCCUCUAAUCCAUGAUAAAGUGAUGGGACGUGCACAGAGACUGUUGUAAGGAGCUCGCUGACACAGGCAGGAGACCACUGUGUAAGGAGCUUGCUGACGCAGGCAGCAGAGCACUGUUCUCCUGGGGAGGCGGGCUAAUCCUGUCCUCUUGAGGAGGGAGGGUGUUUAAAUGCAUUUGAUUUUAGUGAAAGCUCUAGAAAGCGCCAAAAAUCCAACAGCUGCACACAGUUCCGAUUAGGAACCAUGACCUCAACUCGUAAUUUUUGGGAAAGGAGGAUUUAUUGUAUUGUUUGUCAAAUUCAAGUUUUAUUUUAUGUCCAUAAAGCUGUGGAAAGGAAAACACCGUCUUUUCUGACUACAACAGGCUGUUUGCAGCUCCCUGACAAUAUGACACCCUGCUGAAGAAGCACAGCCUCUGGGGCUUCAGGUAGGAUUUUUCUGGAUUACUGGUUGCACAAAGCAAAAGUCAAAGCAUGUUCAGACCCCAGCCUUCCUAAGCUCUGCUUCUCACACAGACCCACCAUGCCUGGCCCAGCCUGGACGCUCUUGACCACCUUCAAAGCCCAAAUGCCUUCUUUUCACUCAUGUGUGACGACUAUCUAGUUACAAGGAUACAAGCAGUCCCCAGAGAAUUUACUGGGUCUUUUCAGAGGCAAUAGGCUCUGCCCCAAACCCUGGACUACUCCUUUCCUUCCAGGUUACAAAUAAGCUCUUGCAGCAGAUUUUUUUUUUUUUUUGAGACAAGGUGUCGCUUUGUCAUCCAGGCUGGAGUGCGGUGGCGCAAUCAGAGCUCACUGUAGCCUCAAACUCCUGGACUCAGGGAAUUCCCGCCCCCUCAGCCUCCUGAGUAGCUGGGACUACGGGCAUAGGCCACCGUAGACAGCUAAUUUUCAGCAAACACCUUAACACAGAGAGCCAGUGUGGCCACCAAGUGCUCCACUGCCCCUUAAACAGGUAGGAAGGGGAUUUUGGGCUAAAAGUGGCAACUCAAGAUCCAGGUAGCUUUGUCUAAAGUAGCCCAGUAACAAUCGAACCCCUGAACGGAAAGAUAAUCAAACACAGAACAAACCAUGGCCAUGGCCAGAGGCGCUAGAAUUUAAACUGGAAGCCGUGAAAAUUCUUUGAAUUUCUUAGAGGACUGACAGAAGUCAUUAUGCGCAAAAAAAAUUGUAUUCCCCCAGUCAUCCACGUUUACAUUUUAUGAGAUACUUUGUUUGCUGAAGAAUACACGUUUUAGGAGAUUUUCAGUCCCAGAGAAGAAAUAUUUUCAAAUGGAUUGUGACUCCCUGCGGAUGCGUAUGUGAGGAAAACCAGGGAUGUGAAGGUCAGGAUUUUGUGCAAACUUUAAUGACUCUUCUGCCAAAAUGAUUUUGUUCAGUUAAAACUAAAACUAACCAGACGUAUGACACAUAUUUACAGUCAGGGUCAAGAGUGUUUACUCUUCAGCAGUUAGCUUUGAAAACAAAAGAGCUUUGACCACAGAUGGACUGAAGGGAACCAAAGCUGGAAUGGAGAGCUCCCUGGAAGUGUAAGAGCCAAACUCACAGCCCUGCUUUCCAAAGCCCACCACUUCCAGGAGUCGGCCAUGAAUUCAGAUGAUGAGCUUCGUGGCAAUAUCUAUUUUUAAAGGCCAGCACACACAUACAAUAUGAUAUGGUUUCCCUGAGAAAGCCACAACUGCCAAAUAAUUACCACAUUUCUAAUUUUAAAUUUGAGUUAACAAACACCAAAGCAUAAGCUGAGGGUUGAUUUUAAUUUUUGCUCUACUAAAAUCAAACUCGAUUGUCAUGUACUCAUUUUCUCCUCAUUACAAACUACAUUUUAAAAAAUAUUAUGACAAACUACAUUUUUAAAAAGAUUAUUGCAAACUACAUUUUUUUUAAAUGUGGAUUUUUUUGGAUGUUACGCAUACAUAGGUACACAUACAUGUAUAAUACAUACAUACACAAAGAUAACAGAGAAGAAAAAAUGACCAAUCCUAAGAAGAAAUAACAGCUUCUUUCCACAAGGUAUCAUGAAGCCUAGAAAUCAGAAUUCAUGUUUCAAAUUAUAAUAAUUUUUAAAGUUUUUUUAGUAUUAGCAAUAUUAAGAAAGCCAUCAGAACCGUGUAAAUGGAGACAUAUUAUGUAUAUACUAUGCAUGUUUUAAAAAUUAUCAUUGCACACAUUAAAAUCAGUCAAACUUACAGAUAUCCAUAGCCAUGUUGUUAUGUCUUGAAGAUGAAAGGGGAGAAACAGAAAGAGAAUAAGAGAAAAGAGAAUAUAGGAAGAGAUGAAGAGGAAAGAGGAGAGGAAAAGAGAAGGAAAAGGAAGGAAAAGAAAAGAAAGAAAAGAAGGGAAAAGAGAGGAAGGGAAAGGGGGAGAGAGAGCAAAAGGAAAGAGGUGGGAGAGAAAGGAGAGGACUCCCCUUAUAGUGUCCCUAAAUAUUCACCCACCCUCUGACAAACCAAAUAAGGGCAGGUGGCAACUCGGAUAGUCAACUGUGCGGUUAUUUUAAAAACGUUCAUUCAGUGCAACAGCUGAGCUGAAUUGUUUUUGAUAUAUAGUCACCUAAUCCAAUUCAACUUGUGUAUUCAUCUACUCUUGAUGCUAGGGUUAAGCAGGGGAAGUGAGGUAUUAUCCCUGCUUUUUAUUUUUAUUUUUUUGAGACGGAGUCUCACCCAGGCUGGAGUACAAUGGCACGAUCUCAGCUCACUGCAAACUCCACCUCCCGGGUUCAAAUGAUUCUCCUGCCUCAGCCUCCUGAGUAGCUGGGACUACAGGCGCCCACUACCACACCAAGCUAUUUUUUGUAUUUUUAGCAGAGAUGGGGUUUCACCAUGUUGGCCAGGCCGGUCUCAAACUCCUGACCUCGUGAUCCACCCACCUCAGCCUCCCAAAGUGCUGGGAUUACAGGUGUGAGCCACCACGCCCGGGCUAUCCCUGACUUUUUAAAUAAACUUUUUAAAUUUGAUUUUUUAUUCUUAAAAUUUUUUUUUUUUUUUUGUAGAUAUGGCGUCUCACUAUAUUUCCCAGGCUGGUCUCGAACUCUUGGCCUCAAGCAAUUCUCCCACCUUGGCCUCCCAAAGUGCUGGGAUUACAGGUGCACGCCCCACCCAUCCUUGCCUUUGUAUUCUGUGUAUUUAAUAAUACAUCACUACCUCCAUGUAAGAAUCAGGUAAAUCUUGUACUUCUGAAAAAUCACUCAAAUUGUAGUUGAAAAGAAAUGCAAUGGAGAAUGAUCUCACUUGCCUGUGGUAUUCUGUACCCAAGGACACUCACACGGUCUGUGAGCCUGCUCUGAGCUAGGAAAGUGCUGCGGGAAGGCAGGAACGCUUAAUCCCAAGGGGAAUUUCCCAACCAAAGCAGCAAGUUCCCCGAGGCUGGAGAGCUCUGUGCGUUGGCAGGGAGGGCAUUCCAGAGCAGAUGGAGAACACAGAUGUGGAGGCACAGCAGGGGUCCCACCAUGCUUGGGAAACAGGGGCUACCCCGCAGCGGGCCAAGCCCAAGGUGCAGAGGGAACCAUGACUCUCAAGAGAGCAUAAACAAAGACAACAGAGCAGAAAAGAUGACCAGAUCCCUCUAACAAGAAAUAACAGCCUCUUUCCUCAAAGUACAAUCAUGUUUAAAAAUUACAUUCCAGGUUAACCAGGUUUUCAAGCUACCUCACAAAACCACAUGGGCUGUGGGCCCAUGGCAGGAGGAGGUCCACGACCUGGGGGUCUGGCCUCUUCUUGAUCCUAAUACACCCUCUGGCCCUGCAUUUCCUACAUAGCCCAAGAGUUCUCAUCCUCUUCUGUUGUGAGCUCAUUUUAAUAAUAAAGAUUUAUGAGGAAAAGCUAAAUAUAUGCGCACGCACACACACAUACAAACACACACAAUCACAGACACAAAUAUGCAUACAUACAGAAACACACACACAAGCACACAUACACGUAGACAUACACAAACAUCAGUGACUUGGGAGCAGCAAAGAACCUUGGAAACACUGGCCGGGCGCGGUGGCUCACGCCUGUAAUCCCAGCACUUUGGGAGGCCGAGGCGGGCGGAUCACGAGGUCAGGAGAUUGAGACCAUCCUGGCUAACACGGGGAAACCCCAUCUCUACUAAAAAUACAAAAAAAAUUAGCCAGGCAUGGUGGCACGCGCCUGUAGUCCAGCUACUCGGGAGGCUGAGGCAGGAGAAUGGCUUGAACCCAGGAGGGGGAGGUUGCAGUGAGCCGAGAUCACACCACUGCACUCCAGCCCGGGCCACAGAGCAAGACUCCAUCUCAAAAACAACAACAACAAAAGAAACACAGUCAUUUGCCAUGGUGGUCCCUUAAGAUUACAAUGGCUACACCAUCAACCGUAGUAUGUAGUGGGCUGUACCAUCUAGGUUUGUGGAAAUGCACUCCAUGAUGGUUGCAGAAUGACGAAAUCACCCAAGGACAUAUUUCUCAGCAGGUACUCCUGUUGUUAAGCAACAUAUGACUAAUCAGAAUGUGACUUUUCCUCACAUGCAUUUGUUCUUCACUUUUUGGGAGUCACAGCCCCUUUAAGAAGAGUAAUGAAAACAAUGGAUGCUCUCCUUUAUUAAAUGAGCUUUCAAAAAAAAAAAAAAAACCCCUAGCAUUUUCCAUAUGGUUUUGGGGAGAUAUUCUAACAUUCUAAAGCUUGUUCUUGGACCCCAGUUUAAAAACCAUCUGCUUGGCUCACACAUGUAAUCCCAACCCUCUGGGAGGCCGAGGUGGGUGGAUCACCUGAGGUCAGGAGUUCAAGACCAGCCUGGCCAACAUGGCGAAACCCCAUCUCUACUAAAAAUACAAAAAUUAGCCGGGUGUGGUGGCACACACCUGUAAUCCCAGCUACUCAGGAGGCUGAGGCAGAAGAAUCACCUGAAUGUGGGAGGCAGAGGUUGCAGUGAGCUGAGAUCGAUCAUGUCAGCCUGGGCGACAGAGUGAGACUUCGUCUCAAAAACAAAACAAAACAAAAAACGCCUGCUCAACAAAAUCAUUUACAGUGCUCAUUUGAAACACAACUUCCCAGCAAUAACAAUUUGACUUCACCUGCCUUAGGUUACUGUUUUUUAAAAGUAAAAACAAAGUCUCAUUAAAAAAAAAAAUGAGCUCAUUAAUGGUAGAAAUUAUCAUCAAUGCUCAUGUUAGCCAGGGAGAUGCUGCAUGCAUAAAAGUUAGCUUAGAAAACUCUCUCCUUUAAAAUACCACGGUAAUUUGUUCUCCACAUAUCUUAGGGCAUCCAUUUACCAUCUGAUUAUUAUUUUCAUGUGGAGAGCUACUGAAUAAAUUGUAAUUUACUUUUAAUGAAAUAAUUAUCUUGUGAAGGACAAAUGUUGAAAUGUUUAAGGCCCCAUGAACCAAGCAAUCUCUUUCAACUUGGGCAAAAUUAAACGUAAAAAUAGUACUAACAUAAAGGUAGGCAGAAGGCAGAUCUAGCUUAUAUACAAUCAGCUUCACCCAGUGAUAGAAGUGACCAGGUGAAUCGUCUUAAAAAGAAAAAAAAAACACACAGAAAGAUUACAGACUCCAAAGUUUCAGUUGUAAGUUACAUUCUCUGACAUGAUUAGUGACACACAAUAGUUCAUCCAAUGUUACUAAACUCCUUCUAAAAUCAUCUCAAAGUCUUCAGUUAAGACUACCUUUCUUUUUAACUUUUGCUAAGUUUAAUAAAGUUCUGAGACAAAGUCUGAAAGUAAGAAAGAAGUAAAGUGGAUCCAAUGAUUUAUUUCUGUAACAUCCUGCUUGAUAUCAACAUCAACCUUUGCCUUGGUAAUGAAAUCAACGUUUUAUAGACCGAAUGUUAUGAUAGCAGAGAAAGCAUGAAUUUUAAAAAUAGAGAGAGAUGGGUACUUGACUUGUACUUGCCUCAAGUAUACAUAUAUAUAUAUUUUUUUUCCUUUUUUUUGAGACGGAGUCUCACUCUGUUGCCCAGGCUGGAGUGCAGCGGCGCGAUCUCUGCUCACUGCAAGCUCUGCCUCCUGGGUUCACGCCAUUCUCCUGCCUCAGCCUCCCGAGUAGCUGGGACUACAGGUGCCCACCACCAUGCCCGAUAAUUUUUUGUAUUUUUAGUAGAGACGAGGUUUCACCAUGUUAUCCAGGAUGGUCUCGAUCUCCUGAUCUCGUGAUCCACCCGCCUUGGCCUCCCAAAGUGCUGGGACUACAGGCAUGAGCCACCACGCCCAGCCUCAAACAUAUAUUUUGAAAUGCGUAUAAGCUUUAUCAGUAUGAAUUCUAGGGGAAGAGAGAAUUUCAGAAGAUACAAAAUGCAAACUGUAGGAGGAUACAAAGCCUUACAAGUGUCUCCUUUGGUUAGGAACCAUGCCGGGUUUUUUGGGGUCUUUUUUCAGCUUUGAGGUAUAAUUCACAAAUGCAAAUUGUAUAUACUCAAGGUGUGCAGCAUGAUGUUUUGAUAUAAAAGCUGAACUCACAGAAACAAAAUGGAAAGGUGGUAACCAGGGGCUGGAGGUAGGAGAAAUUGGAAAGACAUUGGUCAAAGGAUGCAAACUUGUAGUUACGAGUAAGUUCUGGAAACCUAAGGUAUAGCAUGGUGACUAUAGUUGCUAACAAUGUAUUAUAUAUUUAAAAUUUGCCAAGAAGUAGAUCUUAAGUUUUCUCAAGGCACACACACACGGUUAUGGCCCCUACAUCAGACACACAUAACUAUGUGAAACCAUGGUAGGUAUUUUACAUUUUGUUAUUAACCUAAGCACUUGAACAACAGAUGUAGGGCUGAAGAUCAAGAGAAUCGCUCAGGGUACUUUAGUACCAUUCCAUUGGAACUUAAACGCUACGAGGGCAGGAAUUUUGUUUCCCACCGCUCUUUCCCCAACACCUAUACCAGUCCCUGACACACAGUAAGUGCUCAGAAAACAACUGUUGAGAAUAAAUGAAUACCUGGCAGUGAACUAAUAAACUCAAAGGGAAACGAAAGCCAAGCACAUCCCAUCUUGUUGUGAACACGAAGAUUCUGACGGUCUCAGGCAUCCCUGAGCGAGUCUGCUGUGACCACUUUGGGGUUUCACAUCAGGAGAAAAAACAAAUGUCCAAAAGAAGAUAAAAAUAAAUUAGGUUAGAGAAAAGAAAAUAGACAUACUUAAAUGAACACAAAAGAAACUAUGAGAGCUUAAUUUAAAGAGGUGUCAGAAACUUUCCAAAAUAAAGAAUCAGGCUGGGCGCGGUGGCUCAGGCCUGUAAUCCUAGCACGUUGGGAAGCGGAGGCGGGUGGAUCACGAGGUCAGGAGAUCAAGACCAUCCUGGCUAAUACGGUGAAACCCCGUCUCUACUAAAAAUACAAAAAGUUAGCUGGGCGUGGUGGCGGGCGCCUGUAGUUCCAGCUAGUCAGGAGGCUGAGGCAGGAGAAUGGUGUGAACCCGGGAGGCGGAGCUUGCAGUGAGCCGAGAUUGCGCCACUGAGCUCCAGCCUGGGAGACUGAGCGAGACUCCAUCUCAAAAAAAUAAAAUGAAAAUAAAAUAAAAUAAAAUAAAAUAAAUAAUAAGAAUCAAAGACAAAGAAUGAUUAUGAAGCCAUCAGAGAAGGGAGAAACAGUCUGUGUAUUUCAACAGAAACAAGCAAGGACAGUGAGAGGACUUUUUAAAAAAGAUCUUCUUUCUCAACACAUUUCUAAUUUGUUCCUGCUCUCCCACCUUGAACUACUACCUUCCAGAUACAAGGUGUUGCCUUUCCAAGGAAGACAGAUUAUUCUCGAUCUCUGAAACCUUUGGAUUACAGAAUCCCAAUACGUAAAAGGGGUCUUAAAAAUCCUCUAGUCCAACCCUUGUUUGAAUGAAUGAGGCCACUGAGGCUCAGAGAGGUUAAGAAUUUACCCAAGGUCACACAGCUGGUUAUUCAUGAAAAUCAAUGUUCCUCCUUCUUUCUCUGGCCAUUGACACCUUCAAUUUCCAGAUAAAAUCUUCCUCCUGCACCGAGAGCAGGGAAAACACUUCUUUGGACUUUUGGGGAGGUAGGUGAAUGAAUGAAGGAAACAAAGCAUGUUGGCUGUUAUGGCCCCUACAUCACUUUGCUCUGCUGUGUUCUCCACGCCACGUGCCCACUGCAACUUCCUUUUGAAAUAUUUAAGAAUAGUUGGCUGCCUGAAAGCUCUCUGAUGCCUCUGGAGUGAAGACCUGAUACAAAUCCAAAUUAAUAAAUUCCAUCUCAAAUGGGAGAAUCCUGUGUUGGGUAAAGUACAUCCCAUGAAGCUGAGUCACCCUAUUCUGAAGCACAAUGACCAAUUUUAUCUAAUCACAGAAUUUUAAAAUAUUCAGCACUUCCAAUAAAAAAUGUAUGAAAUCAUAAAUCCAAAUGGUUAUGUGUGUGUGGCUAAAAUGAACAUCCGGGGGAAAUUAAGACUAUCAGCACAAUUUAGAGAGCUAGCUGCUUCUUAACGGUACAGCCAAGCCUUUUUUUCUAACCUGGCUCAAACCUAUAGAGUUAUUAGCUGGUUUAGAUGUCUGAUGCAAUAUUUGCAAACAAAUUGAAUUAAUUGCAAAAUAAACAAAUGUAGCUGAAUUUUGCAACCAACAUAGCACACAGUAAACUAAACUAUCAGCUUAACUCAAACAAAAAAUUCCUAAGAAAAUUUAUAUCCAAAACCACUAAAACAUUCAGAUGUCAUUUUCACUUUCAUAACCUACCUCUUAAUUCAACAUAUUUUAAGCUACUGAAAAUCAAGUGCUUUCCCAUUUGGGUUUUGGCUGGAGCGGUUUGUUUGUUUUGGAGUAACAGGUGUGCAACUGCAACAUGUAUAUGUCUUAAAUUUUUGGCUGAGAUAAAUUAGAUAUAAUGUUUCAGAAUGUAUGAAAGAGUAUUUACUUAAAAUUUUGAAAUAUUUAAAGUAUGUGAGAUCUUAAAAACCUAAAAAUAUCAAUAUGGUUUUUCUAUUCAAUGACUGUAUCUAUCCAUCCAAGCCUAAGUUAUUUGCCAACUUUCCAUGCUCAGAACGUAAUUGAAAGUCCAGAAAGAAACGAGAGGCCUCUGAUGAACCUAAACACAGUUCACAAAUCGUAGGUGCAUUAUUAAUAAAAAGCCCUUUGGGUCUUCGCCCAGAACCGAAUUGUUCUUUUCUAUUGAUAGCAGAUACAGAGGAUACAAAUUCUCACACAGCUAAUUGGGAGUUAAUUUCUACUUACAAACAGAAAAUCAGUUCUAAAAGCCAAAUGAAUGCAUUCCACCUGAAAUGGACAUGUUGAACAAUUCACCUUAUAAAGAGGAACACCAGGAUUUUUUAAAAAAUCUUAAAUGGACCUUAAGAAGGAAAGCUGAGCAAGCAAAGAGACAGAAAAUGAUUUUUAAAAUAAGGCCGCCAGGAGACCUCAAGAUCACAGCAGGGUGUGGAUGCUGAGUAUGGAGGUCAGAGCCCCAUCACCCUCACUAGACCUGAGAUGGGAUUCUCACGGAGAGGGGUUCCAUCCCAGGGAGGCUGCGGGGACAUCAAAGUAACCAGGAGGUCUUGAAAGGUGUCCAAGAGGAGAAGACAGAAGAGCUCCUGAUCAGUGCUGAGGAGUGAGUGGGCAGGAAAGAAAGAAGUGAUCGCUUGAGGUCAAGGGGAGCUUUAUUUAGAAUGGAUGAAACCUGAGGAUGUUUUCAACACAAGGAGAAGCCAGGAGAAGAGCAGAGUGGAAAAUAAGACAAACGGGAGAGAAUGGUGUAGGUAGAGAGCGGGAAGGGGUGGCAUGAAAAGCCUAGAGGAACAGAGGAGCCUUGAAAGACUCCUUCUCCUCCUCGGAAGCCCCCUUCGAGUCCCGCACCCCAGCUGGUUGCUUCCAUCUCAGGCACGUGGCAAAGAAUUAACCUAAGGCGGCUCAAAGCAGGUCCUCAGACAGGAAUUAGCAUCACCUGGAUCCUGUUUGUUGAAUCUCUAAGUCCAGUGCAGACCUACUGAAUCAGACGCUGCAGUAACAAGACUGCAGGUGAUUCCUAUUAAAGUUUGGGCUGCACUGGCUAAAGCAGCGGUUAUGAAUACAGGCACUGAAGUCAACUAGAUCUGGGUUCAAAUCCAGCUGGAUUUGGGCACAUGGUAUGUGCCCAAGCUUGGGCAAGCAUUUCUAACCCUCAGUUUUUUCCUCAGUAGAAUGAAGACAAUUGCACUAAUAUUUCUUGGGGGCUACUGUAAAAAUUAGAGUCCGGGCGUGGUGGCUCACACCUGUAAUCCCAGUGCCUUGAGAGGCCUUAAUGGGAGGAUAGCUUGAGGCCAGGAGCUCAAGACCAGCCUGAGCAACAUAGUGAGACCCCUGCCUCUAGAAUUUUUUUUUUUAAUUAGCUGGGCAUAGUAGUGAUUGCCUAUAGUCCCAGCUACUCGGGAGGCUGAGGAAGGAGGAAUGCUUGAGCCCAGGAGUUCGAGGCUGCAGUGAACCAUGGUCAUGCCAUUGCAUUCCAACCUGGGUGACCAGGCAAGACUGUCUCAAAAAAUAAAAAUAAUUAAGUGAUAUAUUGUAGAGGUAAAGAGUGUGGCAUUAAGUCUGGCACACAGUAAUAAUGGAUGGCAUGUUAUUAUUGUUCAUCCCUUCUACUCUGACUGGUAAAAUAGCUCCAUUACAUCCCUGUCCGAGACACUCUGGGAAAGAGGCUGCCAAUGAGAGGGAAUACGCUAUAGGCUUCUGCAUCCCACAGGACCCACCCGGAGCUCUGCACAGGGAAAGUGCCCCAAAAAUAUGGACUGAAAUGAAUGUACCCAGGGCUGUGACAUGGGCAGACCAAUGAUCCCAAAGCAAAUAUGGAAACUAUUUCUUUUACUAUAUUUACACAAAAACCAGUUAGACAUAGGUUAUAAACUUGUUUGGGAUUAAAGGAUCAACUUUCAGAAGGGGACAAGCACAUUAGGAGGAAAAAGAAUGCCUCUUUCAAAACCUCCUACAAUAGGGAGUGUCUCUAAGAGGGACAGAGAUCUCUCUGAACCAAUACUAAAGAGCCCCUGAGAUCAACAGUGCAAACUGCUCCUGAGAUGUGUGACCCAAGUUGAAGUUGACUGUAUGGGUAAAACACUUAGGUCAAAUUGCACCACUAGAUGAGUUUCUUCAUUUUAGGCAAAGUUCCAAUAAUGAAGUGACUGACUUCAUGCGGCACACCUUAAUUUCCCGGUUGGCAAAAGCACGUGUACAGAAACCCCAUAUACAGAAACCCCAUCGGACUUGUUACCGCAACACGAACGUUUCUGCUUGCAUUGUCAUAGAUGAAGGAAAAAAAAGGAGAACUUAUAACACAGAACACCAGCUUCUACUGUGAGUAAUAUAGGAUGAGGGCAAAAGUACUGGAUGGAUCACAGCCAAAUUUCGAUAUGAAGAACCCACAAGUCGUUACAAUUCAAUCCGUUCAAACAACUCACAUUUCUGGAUUGCCCACUGGGCUAGACCCUGGGGGUGGUAAGAGAAGUGAGACCCAAGCACCUCACUGGGUACCCUGCUGCCAAGGAAAGGGCCACCAGGACCUAGUGACUGCAGCCCUAGAGUACAGGCUGGAGUCGAGGCCCAGGAGGCCAGAGGCAUGUCAGAGGAAGCUUCUGGCACAUCUCCUUUGAUAUUGCUUCCCUGGCAGGCAAGAGAAGACAACAUUUUGGGGAGACUUGCCAACAGAACUCCAGGGGCAUGAAAGACCCUGAAGGGGAGGCUACAGAGCCCAGGCUUUUGCAUGUAAGCAGUGAGGAACGAUGAGGGUUUGGCCCUGGCCGAGUGCAAGAUGAGAUCUUUGUUUAGGAAGGUCAUUCUGUGGCUAGACCAGACGGAGGAGAAACCGAGGGCCAAGGGAUCCAUUAAGGGCAAAGCAGUAGCCCAGGUAAGAGAUGGCGAGGCGAGGCCAGGCGCGGUGGCUCAUGCCUGUAAUCCCAGCACUUUGGGAGGCCGAGGUGGGCAGAUCAUGAGGUCAGGAUUUCGAGACCAGCCUGACCAACAUGGUGAAACCCCAUCUUUACUAAAUAUACAAGAAUUAGCCGGGCGUGGUGGCGGACACCUGUAAUCCCAGCACUUUGGGAGGCCGAGGUGGGCAGAUCAUGAGGUCAGGAUUUCGAGACCAGCCUGACCAACAUGGUGAAACCCCAUCUUUACUAAAUAUACAAGAAUUAGCCGGGCGUGGUGGCGGACACCUGUAAUCCCAGCUACUCAGGAGGCUGUGGCAGGAGAAUCCCUUGAACCCGGGAGGCAGGGAUUGCAGUGAGCCGAGAUUGUGCCAUUGCACUCCAGCUUGGCUGACAGAGUGAGACUCCAUCUCAAAAAAAUAAAAAAUAAAAAAGAUGGCGAGGCUUAAGAGGAGGUGGUGGGGCAGAGGCCUCGGGGACCUAAAGGGAGAGGAGUCAAGGGUGACCAGAAGAUUCCUAGUUGAGUCACAAAUCAAUGAAGCCCAGAACUGCUGGAAAGUUCUAGACCUACGGAUACUCCCAGUCACAGCAAGGCACCCUGAGAUCAGCGCUUUAACAUAAAAUUGCAAUGAGUGUCCUAAAAUCCCAGGCAGCUGCAGAUUCAGGAGAUGAUUCCAAGGCUGCCUUUGUACCCUAACAAUCACAAGGCUCCUAGCAGCUUACUCUCCAUAACGCUCCAUGUAGCCCGAGAGCCCUGCAUGCUGGAGCUCACCAGACAUCCUUAUAAAAAUCCCAAGGGCCCUUUCCUUUGGAUGCAAUUCCUCAACUGUAGAAUAUUAAAUAACUCGCCGGGUGUGGUGGCUCAUGCCUGUAAUCCCAGAACUUUGGGAGGCCGAGCGCUGGUAGAUCACCUGAGGUCAGGAGUUCAAGACCAACCUGGGCAACAUGAUGAAACCCUGUCUCUACUAAAAAUACAAAAAUUAGCUGGGCGCAGUGGCAUAUGCCUGUAAUCCCAGCUAGUAGGGAGGCUGAGGCAGGAGAAUCACUUCAGCCCAAGAGGUGGAGGUUGCAGUGAGCUGAGAUUGUGUCAUUGCACUCCAGCCUGGGCAACAGAGCAAGACUCCAUCUCAAAAAAAAAAAAAAGAAAAAAGAAAAAAAGAAUACUAUAUAACCCCAGGUGUUGCCAAAGAUGUUCACUCUGAAUUGAACUCCAAAGUCUUCCAGAAGUCUGUUUAUCACAAAACAGUCUGUCUCCAAAGUAGAAGCAAAGAUAAAGAACUGUUUGUUGAAUGGCUGACUGAUGUCCACUGCAAGCUGAGCGCAUUAACCAAAUUUCACUUGGAAGACUAUGCAUGUGGCAAAAUUAAAUGCACCAAUAGUACUAAAUAAAGGUAGGCAGGAAGGCACCUAAUGUACUACAAUAGCUUGUAUAACAUCAGCCUCAUCCAGUGAUCAAGGUGACCAAAUAAAUUAUCUUUAACACACACACACACACACACACAGAGUAUAGACUCCAAAGUUUCCAUUGUAAGACAAAUUCUCUGACACUAGUGCACACUUGAUGCCCUGGAUCCUCAAGACAUCACCGGGUGCCGGGUGCAGGGGCUCACGCCUAUAAUCCCAGCACUUUGGGAGCCCAAGGUGGGCGGAUCACGAGGUCAGGAGUUCAAGAUCAGCCUGGCCAACAUAGUGAAACCCCGUCUCUACUAAAAAUACAAAAAAAAAUUAGCUGGAUAUGGUGCCAGGUGCCUGUAAUCCCAGUUACUUGGGAGGUUGAGGCAAGGAGAGUCACUUGAACCUGGGAGGUGGAGGUUGCAGUGAGCCGAGAUCGUGCCACUGCACUCCAGCCUGGGUGACAGCACGAGACUCCAUCUCAAAAAAAAAAAAAAAAAAAAAAGACAUCACUGGUUUUGGUGAGAAGAGACAGCACACAUCUGCCUGGCACUGGGCUGCUCUUCUUUGGAGACAGAGGGUACAAUUUAUAUCCUGCAGUUUUACUCAACAGGGGAUACCACCAGCAGUUUGGCCAGGGUAAUGCUGUAUGGGACUGUCCCCUACACCAUGUAAAUUGGGCAUUUACAAUUCUUAACCACAUCCUCCCAAAUGCCAGUGAGUCAUUGAGAAAACCUGAAACACCCCCAUGCAUUUUCAAACGCCCCCUAGGGUUGCCACACUAUCUCCGGUGAAGAACCCUCGCAGUAUUCACCGAUGAAGUUCUUCUCUAUAAAUACUCUGUUUUCCUACCUGGUAAAAAUAAUGACUGCCCGUACUUGUCCAUCUGAUGUGGUAUAAAGAAAUAAUCUUUUUUUUUUUUCAAAGAAGCAACACGUCAAAUAAGCCUUCUAUGUUCUAGAGUUCACUGCUGUUUUUCAGCAGAAACAAAUCACUGAGCUAAAUUACAAAGAGACCAUAGCAAUCUCCAGGGCUUUAAAAGGCUGAUGCAGUAUUUUUUCUUGGAGAAUUUAAAAAUAAAAUGCAGUUCAAACUCUAGAACCUACAGUGAGGUUUUUCUCAUAAAUUCUGGAACAUCGCAAGUUCUAGAAAUCAAGCCCUGAAGAAUGAGAGUACCAAGGCAAAGAACCCUCAGAACAAAGAUUAUGCAAAAGGAUCACUGGUGAUUUUCUAUUUUUACAUGAAUUAUAAUGGCAGUGAAAUAAAACUUGCCCUUCUGAACUCCACCCCCAUACUUGUGCUACGAUUAUUAAAGUACGUUGCAUUGUGAAUAUACUUUAAUUCCAAGACUUUAAGUGCUAACAUUUAGACAGAAUGUACUAAGUUAUAUUAAUCAAAUUUUUAGUAUUAAACCUUUCUCUACCAUAAAGUAAAUCCUUUAAAAAAAAAAAAAAGUCCAAUCCUUCUCAACCCAAGAAAUAUGCCCAAGGGUAUCUACAGGAAUGGCUGCAGUAACUGGCAAACGCUGGCAGGAAUUUUCCAAUGACUGAAGUCAACAAAUCCUCAGGAAACAUGCUCAGACAGAUGGCACUUAAAAAAAAGCAAAAACAAAAACAACAAAAAAAAACCUACUGCAUUUAGAUUUAUAGGAAGAUUUUUC